rnacentral:rRNA from 1 species
UACGUAGGGGGCAAGCGUUGUCCGGAUUUAUUGGGCGUAAAGAGCGUGUAGGCGGCCAGACAGGUCCGUUGUGAAAACUCGAGGCUCAACCUCGAGAUGUCGAUGGAAACCGUCUGGCUAGAGUCCGGAAGAGGAGUGUGGAAUUCCUGGUGUAGCGGUGAAAUGCGCAGAUAUCAGGAGGAACACCAAUGGCGAAGGCAGCUCGCUGGGACGGUACUGACACUGAGGCGCGAAAGCGUGGGGAGCGAACAGG